GCUGGCGGCGUGCCUAAUACAUGCAAGUCGAGCGAACAGAUAAGGAGCUUGCUCCUUUGACGUUAGCGGCGGACGGGUGAGUAACACGUGGGUAACCUACCUAUAAGACUGGAAUAACUCCGGGAAACCGGGGCUAAUGCCGGAUAACAUUUAGAACCGCAUGGUUCUAAAGUGAAAGAUGGUUUUGCUAUCACUUAUAGAUGGACCCGCGCCGUAUUAGCUAGUUGGUAAGGUAACGGCUUACCAAGGCAACGAUACGUAGCCGACCUGAGAGGGUGAUCGGCCACACUGGAACUGAGACACGGUCCAGACUCCUACGGGAGGCAGCAGUAGGGAAUCUUCCGCAAUGGGCGAAAGCCUGACGGAGCAACGCCGCGUGAGUGAUGAAGGUCUUCGGAUCGUAAAACUCUGUUAUUAGGGAAGAACAAAUGUGUAAGUAACUGUGCACGUC
rnacentral:rRNA from 2 species